rnacentral:lncRNA from 1 species
GAAAAGUUAAUUCUCUCUAGGAGAGGGGGCUGCUAAGGAAAGAAAAGAACAUAUUAGCUAUAUUUUAGAGAAUAAAGAGUGAGGUUAGACAGGCAAAGUGGGGUAGGAUGGUGGAAGCUAUUCUUCACAGAUGAAACAGCAUGUCACUGAGGCAUGUUAGAACAUAUCAAGAUGCCAUUUUGGAAGGUCAGUUUCAAGGAGGUUAAACAUAAGCAAUAGGUACAGCAUUAGAGAGAGGUUUUUUUUUUUUUUUUUUUGCCAUUAGCCCCAGUCUUUAUUCCUCCCCACAUCCAUGCCUUUGGCAGGUAACUGCAGUCCCUCCCAUUAAUAGGUCAGUGUAUAUGUCCCAGCUUUUUGUUUUGCUACAUGAAUUGCCCUAAUGAAGAGAAUGAGGCUGAAGGGACAGUAUGCUAGCUCUGAGCUAAAUCUUAAGAAAUCUUGCCUAUUUCCUCUGUUGUUUUCUCUGCCAUUACCAUGGAAAGCAGAUGCCUAGGCUAACCUGCUGUUCCCAGGAGAAUGAGAGACAUGUGGAAGGGACUGGAGCUGAUUCACACAUCAACCCAAUUUUGAUUAGCAGAACCAUCACAGCUGACCCGUAGAUUCAUAAGAUUAAGUUAUUGUUUAAAGCUGCUAAUUUCUGGAAUGGUUUGUUAUGCAUCAUUGUUCUAGCAAUGGCAAACCAAAGUAGCUAUAGUAGUGAAUUUGGAAUUUCUUGUAGAUGACAGAAAAUGACAAAAGGUUAUAAUAAAUAGAUUGUUUCAGAAAGAUUGCUUCAACAACAGAAGAUAGAGAUGGGAAGAGAAUGGUGGGGGACGUGGUAGCAAAGAAGCUAUUCCAAUGAUCCAACCUCAAGAUCAUGCAAAUGUGAACUAAAGCAAUGGCAUCAGGAUGGAGCAGAGAAGAUGGACUGGAGAGAGUUUUAGGAGAUGGAGGAAGGUAGCCUGGGCCCAACUGAACUCACUGUGUAUUCAGAAAAUAACCCACAGUUGGGAAAUUCACAGUGCCAUU